AUUGUACGCUGGCGGAAUGCUUUACACAUGCAAGUCGAACGGCAGCACGGACUUCGGUCUGGUGGCGAGUGGCGAACGGGUGAGUAAUACAUCGGAACGUGCCCAAUCGUGGGGGAUCACGUAGCGAAAGCUACGCUAAUACCGCAUACGAUCUAAGGAUGAAAGCGGGGGAUCGCAAGACCUCGCGCGAAUGGAGCGGCCGAUGGCAGAUUAGGUAGUUGGUAGGGUAAAGGCCUACCAAGCCGACGAUCUGUAGCUGGUCUGAGAGGAUGAUCAGACACACUGGGACUGAGACACGGCCCAGACUCCUACGGGAGGCAGCAGUGGGGAAUUUUGGACAAUGGACGCAAGUCUGAUCCAGCCAUUCCGCGUGCAGGAUGAAGGCCCUCGGGUUGUAAACUGCUUUUGUACAGAACGAAAAGGCUCUGGUUAAUACCUGGGGCUCAUGACGGUACUGUAAGAAUAAGCACCGGCUAACUACGUGCCAGCAGCCGCCGUAAUAC
rnacentral:rRNA from 1 species